UGGCGANACGGGUGGNUAUAUAUCGGACGUNCCCAAGGAGUGGGGGAUNACGNAGCGAAAGUUACGCUAAUACCGCAUACGAUCUAAGGAUGAAAGCAGGGGAUCUUCGGACCUUGUGCUCCUGAGAGCGGCCGAUAUCUGAUUAGCUAGUUGGUGAGGUAAAGGCUCACCAAGGCCACGAUCAGUAGCUGGUCUGAGAGGACGACCAGCCACACUGGAACUGAGACACGGUCCAGACUCCUACGGGAGGCAGCAGUGGGGAAUUUUGGACAAUGGGCGAAAGCCUGAUCCAGCAAUGCCGCGUGAGUGAAGAAGGCCUUCGGGUUGUAAAGCUCUUUUGUCCAGGGAAGAAACGGUUCGGGCUAAUAUCCUGAGCUAAUGACGGUACCUGGAAGAAUAAGCACCGGCUAACUACGUGCCAGCAGCCGCGGUAAUACGUAGGGUGCAANGCGUNAAUCGGAAUUACUGGGCGUAAAGCGUGCGCANGCGGUUUUGUAAGUCUGACGUGAAAUCCCCGGGCUCACCUGGGANUUGCGUUGGAGACUGCAAGGCUANAAUCNNGCAAAGGGGGGUAAAAUUCCACGUGUNCCCGUGAAA
rnacentral:rRNA from 1 species